AUGGGAGAACCUUCCAGAAGGACAACCAUCUCUGAAGCACUCCACCAAUCAGGCGUUUAUGGUAGAGUGGCCAGACGGAAGCCACUCCUCAAUAAAAGGCACAUGACAGCCCGCUUGGAGUUUGUCAAAAGGCACCAGAAGGACUCUCAGACCAUGAGAAACAAGAAUCUCUGGCCUGAUGAAACCAAGAUUGAACUCUUUGGCCUAAAUGCCAAGCAUCUGGAGGAAACCUGGCACCAUCCCUACGGUGAAGCAUGGUCGUGUUAGCAUCAUGCUGUGGGGAUGUUUUUCAGCGGCAGGGACUGGGAGACUAGUCAGGAUGGAAGGAAAGAUGAACAGAGCAAAACACAGAGAGAUCCUUGAUGAAAACUGCAACAAACUGCAACAGACACUCAAACUGGACAGUUUUAUCUCCAUCUCUUCAUUCAAAGACUCAAUCAUGGACACUCUUACUGACAGUUGUGGCUGCUUUGUGUGAUGUAUUGUCUCCACCUUCUUGUCCUUUGUGUUGUUGUCUGUGCCCAAUAAUGUUUGUACCAUGUUUUGUCCUGCUACCGUGUGCAGCUGCCAUGUUGUGUUGCUACCAUGCUGUGUUGUCAUGUGUUGCUGCCAUGUCGUUGUUAUGUUGUGUUGCUACCAUGCUGUGUUGUCAUGUUGUGUUGCUACCAUGCUGUGUUGUCAUGUGUUGCUGCUAUGCUAUGUUGUCGUCUUAGGUCUCUCUUUAUGUAGUGUUGUGUUGUCUCUCUUGUCGUGAUGUGUGUUUUGUCCUAUAUUUUUCAUUAAUUUAUUGAACACGUUUAAUCCCGUCCCUGCAGGAGGCCUUCUGGUAGGCCCUCAUUGUAAAGAACAAUUUGUUCUUAACUGACUUGCCUAGUUAAGAAUGGUUAAGUAUCAAAUAUGGGUUAACUGCCUUGUUCAGGGGCAGAAGGACAGAUUUUUACCUUGUCAGCUUGGGGAUUCGAUGCAGCAGCCUUUCGGUAACUGGCCCAACGCUCUAACCACUAGGCCACCUGAUCUAACCACUAGGCUACCUGCUCUAACCACUAGGCUACCUGCUCUAACCACUAGGCCACCUGAUCUAACCACUAG
ensembl:lncRNA